ACAGGACAACAGGAGUAGAGGAGAUGGCGAGCCAGGCAGAAACUUCAGAUUGGUGCAUAUCCACAGGUGUCUGCUGGAAUCCCGUUAACUUGUCAUACCACAAAUGUUCCAGGAGUUGUUUGUUUUAUUUUAUUCUGCUUUGGUUGUGCUAUAGCGCAGGAGUAGCCCUCUUGAUGGCAAUAAUGCAAUAACAUUGGGGAAACAUCACAGAAAAGCUAAUUAACAUGGGAUGAUCCAAUUUAAAUCCACCACUAAUGUACUAUGAUUGCCAAAUACACCUUUAUCCACUAUUCCCCCUUCAUAUUAGACCAGAGUAGUUCACGCCUACAGGCAUUUGAAUUUGUAUAUAGGGAACAACCUCAGUGAUUCAUGUUUAUACCAGUUGGCAUUCCAUUUUAUGUUUGUCCUUUCUUUCUACCGUAAUUUGUUGAUUUUAUUAACACCAAAGACAAGCAUGCAGAUAGCUGAGCCUGCACCUUGUUGUUGUUUAAUUCCCCAACUAGGAAGUGUGCAAAAGGACACAGGCAACUUUUGCAGUUUUCUGGUUUUGUGCAAAUACGUGGGCUCAAAAGAAAAAACAUUUAAAGCGUAGCCCCAUGGGCGUAGCCAUGGGGGGGGGGGGUUGCAGGGGGUGCAGCUGCUGCCCCAGUCAAGUAAAUAAAUAGAAAUAUUUAACUAUCUGACCAAUUACCUCACAGAUAUCUUGGUUCUGCCCCCCACCCCGGUAACAUAAAGCCUGCCUCCCCAAAUAAAUCCUGGCUAUGCCCAGGCUGUGCCCCUCUGUUCAGGAGCAUGCUGGAAAUAGUUGUGAGCAUGGCAAGAAAAGAAAUGAAAACUUUGAAGAAGUAGUUGGCAUGGAAAGGGCAGUAGCAGAAAGUGAUAACUGAUCCACCUUACUGAAAGUACUGAAACAAAUUAUCUGCCACUCCAAGUGAAGCUUGACUUCCCCAUAUUUGUUGGAGUAUCCCCCUAUUUGGUAAACCCAGAUUUACUGGGGGCAGGGGCGGGGAUUGAGUCUGCUGUUGUUUGAGGGUAGCGCCUUGUGGACUACACAGAUUAAAUGGAAAUGCAAACAGCUACAAAGAAACAGUAAAUUUCAGUGUGGACAAGCCCAGUGACACAUUGCAGAAUACACUUGCAACACCCUCACCCCACCAGUCUUGAAGGCCCUGAGAAUAUCUGUGACUGUGAAAUUGUACAUUCUUUAUAAUAUAAUAAUAAUUAUAAUAUUGCAUUCAUUAGUCUGGAUUAUCCCUUAAUCAAUGACAUGGUGCAUAAUCCACCUGCAAAAAAAACACCAGUCCAGAUUGGCCCUCAGCCAUUGCCAGUGCUGAAGCAACAGCCCUCAUCUUUCUGUCCUGGGAAACUGGACCCUUGGAACUGCAGUUCUCUGGACUUGUACAACUGGGCUGGGAAUCUCUAGGAACAGGUUUUCAGUUCAUUCAUAAAGUCAUAGCAACCUGUUUUAAGUUUGUAGUGCUGAUCUAUCCUGAUGCUUCUCUGCAGUAAAUUUUAACUCCUGAUGCUUCUCUGUUGUAAAUUCAUUCUCCUAAAGAGGACUGCAAUAUCAACAAGCAAUAUUCAUUUUUUAACAAGUUAGUGUUUUUGUUAAACUCUUAGAAAUGGUAUUAGCAAAUGUUAACAAACACAUGAAUGGAGUGGUUGUUGUGGCAAUGGUUUUAUUUAUUCUAUUGCACAGUGUUGAAGCAAGGAUCAGGCUUCAGUUAGAAAACAUUGUAUGCCACAAUCCUAAGCACCCACCCUUGAAAAUCCCAUUAAAACUAAAAGGGUAGUAUUGAUUUUACAUAUUGUUGGUUGUUUUAUAACUGCUGGGUGUGACCUUGGGGUUCCUUUAGUGAAGAGGAAGGAAGGUGGAAAUAUUUUAAUUAAUAAAUAAAGGCUGCUAAACACAGGCAAGAAGAUAGUCUUUACAAACUGGUACCAGCUGCAUCAAUGUUUAUUCUGAUUUUUAAUUCUGUGUCCCUGGCCCCAUUUGAAUAGGGGCUGCCACCCCUUAACAGCCCAACCUUUGCUGCUAAGGCUGACAGCUUUGGAGAUGCCACAACUUUGUAAGGUGUUUAGCUAGCCAAACCUUCUGCUUCUUAUGAGGUCAUUAUCUUUGCAUGGGAUCUUGGACUAUUAAGUUUGAGUUGCCAUAAAUCUCCAAAAGAAGAACAAUUUGCUGAGGGCAUUGUUCCAUGCUGGGCAAAAUGUAUACUGAGCUUCUUCAUGCAAUUGGCAUUGAAAUGAUGAUGCAUUCAAGAUAAAUGGUGCUUGAGAAAGUUUGCUUGAGAAAGUUCUGGGAAAUUAUUUGGGCUUCAGGCAAUAUCUUUUAUACAUUUUCUCCUUCAGGAGUUUUAUCUCGAUUUAUGCAAAUAUCAAUAGUCAUGCAACAGCAUGAGAUUGUUUGUGUCAUGUACUACAAGAAAAUAUUUUAUUGCACUAUGCAGUGAAUGUAGAGUUGAGGGACACCCCCGCCCCCUCGCUGCUAUAUUUACAGUGCAGCAGAGCGAAUAGGACUCCGACCCCCUGCAGUGAUUCUGUAUUUUCCAUAUUAUCUACUCAACUGCAGGCAGGAAGAAGAUGUGUGAUGCUCUUUUACAUGUAGAUUGAAUUUAGCACCUAUUUUCAAAACGUUCAAGAUUAACCAUUUCCCUAUCACUUUUGUUUAGAAUGAUGUUAUUUUUGCAGCCUCUGCUUCAUAUUGCUGCAGGCCUCAAUCGAGGGCUGAGCAUCCAGUUGCACAUUCUAUCUGAAGGCCAAAAGUUUGCUUAUUUAUUUAUUUAGAUGAUUUAUAGACCACCCUUUGCACAAGCCACAGGGCAGUUUGCAACUAAAUUCGA